CCUACGGGAGGCAGCAGUCGAGAAUCAUUCACAAUGGGGGAAACCCUGAUGGUGCGACGCCGCGUGGGGGAAUGAAGGUCUUCGGAUUGUAAACCCCUGUUAUGUGGGAGCAAAUUAAAAAGAUAGUACCACAAGAGGAAGAGACGGCUAACUCUGUGCCAGCAGCCUCGGGAAUACAGAGGUCUCAAGCGUUGUUCGGAAUCACUGGGGGUAAAGCGUGCGUAGGCUGUUUCGUAAGUCGUGUGUGAAAGGCGCGGGCUCAACCCGCGGACGGCACAUGAAACUGGGGGACUGGAGUAAUGGAGGGGGAACCGGAAUUCUCGGUGUAGCAGUGAAAUGCGUAGAUAUCGAGAAGAACACUCAUGGCGAAGGCGGGUUCCUGGACAUUAACUGACGCUGAGGCACGAAGGCCAGGGGAGCGAAAGGGAUUAGAUACCCCGGUAGUC
rnacentral:rRNA from 1 species